UACGGAGGGUGCGAGCGUUGUCCGGAAUCACUGGGCGUAAAGGGCGCGUAGGCGGCUGGGAAAGUCGGUGGUGAAAGCUCGCGGCUCAACUGCGAGUCGGCCAUCGAUACUUCUCGGCUCGAGUCGACUAGAGGCAGAUGGAAUUCCGGGUGUAGCGGUGGAAUGCGUAGAGAUCCGGAAGAACACCGGUGGCGAAGGCGGUUUGCUGGGGUCGAACUGACGCUGGAGGCGCGACAGCGUGGGGAGCAAACGGG
rnacentral:rRNA from 1 species